rnacentral:rRNA from 2 species
AGAUAACGGCGUCGAGCGGCGGACGGGUGAGUAAUGCCUGGGAAAUUGCCCUGAUGUGGGGGAUAACCAUUGGAAACGAUGGCUAAUACCGCAUAAUAGCUUCGGCUCAAAGAGGGGGACCUUYRGGCCUCUCGCGUCAGGAUAUGCCCAGGUGGGAUUAGCUAGUUGGUGAGGUAAUGGCUCACCAAGGCGACGAUCCCUAGCUGGUCUGAGAGGAUGAUCAGCCACACUGGAACUGAGACACGGUCCAGACUCCUACGGGAGGCAGCAGUGGGGAAUAUUGCACAAUGGGCGCAAGCCUGAUGCAGCCAUGCCGCGUGUAUGAAGAAGGCCUUCGGGUUGUAAAGUACUUUCAGCAGUGAGGAAGGUGGUGUCGUUAAUAGCGGCAUCAUUUGACGUUAGCUGCAGAAGAAGCACCGGCUAACUCCGUGCCAGCAGCCGCGGUAAUACGGAGGGUGCGAGCGUUAAUCGGAAUUACUGGGCGUAAAGCGCAUGCAGGUGGUUUGUUAAGUCAGAUGUGAAAGCCCGGGGCUCAACCUCGGAAUUGCAUUUGAAACUGGCAGACUAGAGUACUGUAGAGGGGGGUAGAAUUUCAGGUGUAGCGGUGAAAUGCGUAGAGAUCUGAAGGAAUACCGGUGGCGAAGGCGGCCCCCUGGACAGAUACUGACACUCAGAUGCGAA